UCGGAUUGCAGGCUGCAACUCGCCUGCAUGAAGUCGGAAUCGCUAGUAAUCGCGGAUCAGCACGCCGCGGUGAAUACGUUCCCGGGCCUUGUACACACCGCCCGUCACACCACGGAAGUUGGGAGUACCCAAAGUAGGUUNCCUAACCGCAAGGAGGGCGCUUCCUAAGGUAAGACCGAUGACUGGGGUGAAGUCGUAACAAGGUAAC
rnacentral:rRNA from 1 species